CAAGUUUUUUUUUUAAGCUGGAUGAAGUGGUUCAAAUACCAUGACAAGGAUUCAUUCCUCUCACUUUGUCACGACUCCUCUUCAGGGCAGCAACAAGAUGAAAAUGAGAAGACUUCGAAAUCAAGAAAGUCAAGGAAGCAAAGAAAUACAUGGGAAGACUGACUGGUAAAUAUCCCUGAUACUUCAAGCACGAAUCAAAAAAGACUGACUAUGAUCCAAGUGGCAGACGAGAUUUAUUCAGGAUCAGGUGCAAAACAGUUGUAGCGCAUUUCUUACAACAACUUCGAAUCAGAACUAAGAUUCAAACGCUAAAAUGGAAAACUGGAAAGUUGUUAUUCGUGAUUCUCUCUCAGUUCAAUUCAUGUUAAGGGCUGUUUGAGGCGGAAAAUUUUCCCGCCAAAAAACUUAGAAAAAAUACGGGCGCCCAAAAUACGCAUGCGCCAAUUUUUUUUCUUUCAAAAAAGAAAUCUAAGUUUUAAAUUACGUCUACCUUGCUA